UCCGAAUUGGUGUAGUGGCUAACAUUUGACGCUCUCACGGUUCGAAUAAUAUCAAUUCGAUCCAGAAGAUCCGUCAAGCCCGGGGUUCGAUUCCCCGAUUCGGAG